UAGGGAAUCUUUCGCAAUGGGCGAAAGCUUGACGGAGCAACGCCGCGUGAGUGAUGAAGGUCUUCGGAUCGUAAAACUCUGUUAUUAGGGAAGAACAAAUGUGUAAGUAACUAUGCACGUCUUGACGGUACCUAAUCAGAAAGCCACGGCUAACUACGUGCCAGCAGCCGCGGUAAUACGUAGGUGGCAAGCGUUAUCCGGAAUUAUUGGGCGUAAAGCGCGCGUAGGCGGUUUUUUAAGUCUGAUGUGAAAGCCCACGGCUCAACCGUGGAGGGUAAUUGGAAACUGGAAAACUGGAGUGCAGAAGAGGAAAGUGGAAUUCCAGGGGUAGCGGUGAAAUGCGCAGAGUUAUGGAGGAACACCAGUGGCGAAGGCGACUUUCUGGUCUGUAACUGACGCUGAUGUGCGAAAGCGUGGGGAUCAAACAGG
rnacentral:rRNA from 1 species